rnacentral:rRNA from 1 species
UACGUAGGGGGCAAGCGUUGUCCGGAGUCAUUGGGCGUAAAGCGCGUGUAGGCGGCUCGGUAAGUCCGCUCUGAAAGUCCGGGGCUCAACCCCGGGAGGCGGGUGGAUACUGUCGAGCUCGAGUCCGGAAGAGGCGAGUGGAAUUCCUGGUGUAGCGGUGAAAUGCGCAGAUAUCAGGAGGAACACCGAUGGCGAAGGCAGCUCGCUGGGACGUGACUGACGCUGAGACGCGAAAGCGUGGGGAGCAAACAGG